UUUGGGAUGAGUUUCUUUACUAGUUAUUUUUCAACGUAAUCCCAUUGACGGUCCACACAUUUCUGCCAGUGGUGCUGCAGCGCCUGGAUCCCUGGUUUGUAAAAGGUUUCCUCUUGUUCCUCAAAAAAGUCUUGAACACCGAUUUCAGCAAAGUGUUUCUUCAUGUUUGAGAAUAGAUGGAAGUCCGAGGGUGCCAGAUCAGGAGAGUAUGGCGGAUGCUGAAUGAAGCCGAAGCCACAGUUAUGGACAGUAGCCAUUGCAAUGACGGACUUGUGAGAAGGGGCGUUGUCCUGGUGGAACAAGGCACCUUUUGUCACCUUCCCCAGCCAGUGCAUAACGACUGCUAUAUCAAAGACUGUGGUGUGUGCUAUCCUAUCUGUCGUAUGGUGCAUAUAAAAGAUCCCUGGUUACUUACGGAAAACUAGCGGGUUUCUUCUCUAAGAUUGUAUGUAAAAUUAGCAAAUGUUUGACAUCCAAUAGCCGAUAAUGAAUAAACCAAUGCGAGCUAGUGGUAUUAAACAAAAUCAACUUAUUGUUUGGACUCUCUUCUUCCUCUUGACUCUGAAUUGUACAUGGGAAUUUGGUUUAGAUGGUUAUGGGCACUUCUUAAAGGUAGUCGUAGUAAGCCUACAGCAAAACUUGUAGUGAAAUAAAAGGGUUUUGUACAUCCCUCGACACACCUUGCUUCCUCUUUGUCUGGCAUCAAUAAAGCUGGUCUGAACUAACAGCACUUGGCCGAUACAUGGGGAUAUGGUUUAGAUGGUCCUGACAUGGAUGGUGACAUCAGAUAAGCACAUGUCAUGGUUAGAGAGACAAGGACUGGGAUAUGGAGGUAUGAGCAUGAGCAGUUAGAUCAGUAAAAUAAUUUGGAUGGAAUCAAUAGGAGGCAAGAGAAAGGUGUGUGUUACUGGAAGGCUACGGGGUGGGGGUGGGGGUUACAUUCAUAUACAGUACAACCUGUGUUAAUGACAAAGGGAUAUUUAGCAUGUGACCCUUUAAGACAGGUGGCCGCUUAUUACAGGUCUGUUUAUCUAAUAAUAGAUUUGGGAGAAUACAAUGGCCACAUAAAACAGGUAGCUGUAUAAUACAGGUAGUAGAUGGAGCAGGUUUGACUGUAAUAAACAUGUAAUUGCUUAAUAUUAUAGCAUGUGAAUUUAUAGGUGAUCCAAAUUGUAUGGUAAUAUAUGUUUAAAAUCCCAUUGAACUAAAUUUAAAGGUUGUAAUGAAGAUAAGAGGGGUUUUUUAUAUAUCAAAAACAUUAAUUAACAAAGAUUUGAAAAUUCAACAAUUCAUGUAACCAGGUAAGGUAAUAAAUAUGUUUGACAAAGAUAAUUAAUCUACAUUCCAGAAAUAUGCGAAACUAACCCUUCCAGUGGUAUCUGCUACUUACCCCGUGGAUUCUGCAGGUGAUAUUGAAUACCAUGUGAAGGUAAACAAUGAAGUUAAACAAAAGAGCUUCGAAUAUGGACUUGGCAAAAAUAAUCUGGAUAUAUCACACUUGAAAGAAGGAUAUUAUCAUAAGAAAAAGAAGUAUGCGAAACUGAAGCUUCCAGUGGUAUCAAUCCCAGCUGCUACUUACGCCAUGGAUUUUGCCACUGACCGUGAAUGUAAUGUGAACAUCAAGGAUAAAGUUAAACAAAAGAUUUUCGAACAAUUAUUUGACAGAAAACCCUUGGCUACACCACUCCUGGAAGGAGAAGGAUAUUGCUAUAAGGAAAAGAAAUAUGCGAAACUGGAUCUUCCAACCCCAAUUUAUGCCAUGGGUUUUUGCCAGUGACCAUGUCAGUGAUGUGAAGAUCAUGGAUAAAGUUAAAGAAAAGAUCUCAGACCAUGGACUUGAAAGAAAAAAGCUGGAUAUGCCACACUUUGAAGAAGGAGAUUGUUGCGAGAAACUGAACUUGCAGCAAUAUAAUGAUCAUCACAAGGCACCAGUAGAGGAGGCUCUGCCUCUGCAUCACAAGGACAUGUAUGAUGCCAAAGCACUGCUGCGACCUAUGUACAACAGUUACAUAAAAUCGACAGUCGUCUGCAAAAUUAAGGAUGUACAAACAUUUGAAGAGUGGUAUUCCAGUCUUGUAUCUGCCACGCUUCUUAAAAAGGAAAAUACCCACUGAAGGAAAGGAAGCCCAAGCAUGGAUGGACAGCAAGCUGAGAAACAUAGCUGCUUUAUCCUGUGAAAGGCUUGGAGGAGUUGUUCGUUAGAUAAUAGUUUUUCUAUUUGAAAUUUGCUUUGCGUUGUGUAUUUUAAAAAACUAUUGACAAGUAUUUUCAUACCA